CAGACCUGGAAGUCGUGUCAGCCAUGAAGGUCAAUGGACAUAUCUGUGAGGAUGUGGCUGGAGGUACUUGGAGAAGGAGAAAGCAUCAAAACCACUCCUCCCUGUGUGUACAUCUAUAUCCAGAGAUUUGGCCUUGAAGAAAACCCUAAAGCUGAAUGUUGCUGAACUUUGGGCAGCUAGAUUCUGACCUGAAUAUUGAGGACAGACUCUUUGUGUAUUUUUGUUUGUUUGUUUCCAUGAUACUUCAGGAAUGAUGGAUUGAGGCACACACGUAAUGACCUGUUCCAGUCAGGAACUGAGACAGCCUCAAAGGGAGCUGCCGAUGAGAUCUAUGGAAUGGGACAUGUCAAAUAGCUCAGUCCUAAGGCGUUUGCCUUGAUGACUGUGUGAAGCCAAUGCACUCACUUAGCAGCUACCUCAUUUCUGGGAUGAGAUGUUUCAUUUCACCAGACAGAUUCCUCCACAACAGAACAAGCACAAAGGAAAUGGUUCCAAGAGGAUUUUUGAAAACACUAUGCACAAGAACUCACUAAAGAUACAGAAGUGUCAAACAACAGAAGUCUUUCAUGUAGAAACUUGUUUUCCUUAAAACCACAUGUCCAUAAGCAGCAAGGAUGAAGGUGUCCCAUGCAAGCUGAAGUGAUUCUUGCUUUUGAGGAAAAAAAUGGUGUCACGGUUACAGUUACAACCAGAGAGGGAUACUUUGGAUACAGAAUGCAGAGGAUUCCCCUGCCCAAGGGACAGACUGAGGCAGGGAUUCUGUCCCACACUGGGCUGAAACCAUGCAGCUCUUAGAAGAACAAACAACCUUCUGCAGAUGCAGAAGAAAGGCAGAGAAAUAUUAGAUGACUUACCCACAGUCUGUAGCAGGGGAUGAAAUGUACCUGUGGAGGCAGUUGAUGAAGAGCUAGGUGCUCGUGGAAAUUGAGACUUGCACCAGCCGUGUCUGUUGCCAGCAGGACUCAGCAGUGUCCCCAGCUCUGGUGAGGUACCAGUGUGUGGUGAGGCACAGUGAUGGCAUCCUGGGAUACUAAUGUAUAUGUCAUGUAGUGUUUGUAUGCAGCAAAGAUUUUGGAGAGUAGAAUACGGGGAAUCUAUUGUUUUCUUUAGAAACAGCUUUUCUCCUCUGUUGUCCCUUGACAUCUGCCCCUCACAACAAGCUUGGGAUGCGAUGUGCCCUUCUCUCCCCUACAAAUACCCUGCUCCUUUUCGACAAGGAGGAUACUGACAGUACUGAGAUCCCACUCAGUCUGCUUGCUUUUAGCAGCCCUACAAGAACAGGGAGGAAAUUUUCCCUGCUCUCUGGAAUAAGGUCCUCCAUUACCAUGUCACAAAAGAAAAGAGGCAGCUUGGUACCUAAGGAAAACUGCUGACUUUAAACCUGAGAUAAGGCUCUAUCAUUUACACUAAUGAGCUCACUGGUGGGGAAUUUGUAAAAUUUUAUGAUAAAAAGUAGCUGUAGUCAGUGUUUGAUGGAAUUUACUAUUUUACAUUUUUGCUGAAGAUAGAUAUAACUACUAAUAAUUUACACAUUCAAACCUAAAUAAGAGCAGAAGAACUGUCCCAGUAGAAAUUC